UAUUACCCUACCCUCUCGAGAGUUGGAAAUAAGUUUCUUGGUCCGGCCCCUCGCCUCUGACAGAUUUCUGCUGUCACCCUGGAUAUUCUAGAUUUUCCUGUACUAAGCGCAGUCCUGCUCUCCCUAGGGAGCGAUGAUGAGUCUUAGUGAAGUGCAGUGAUUUCUUGUACUAAGUAGAGCAGCGCCAGUAGUAACCCGUUCAUUUUGAUCCUAAGUCUUGGCAAUACUAGAUCUUAAUUUUACUCCAGACCACCGUCUCUUACACUCUGCCCACUCUCCCCUUUCCUGAGGGGUAAAGGUAGUUUAGAAAGAAUAGUGGUCAAAGAUCCCAAGGUUUCACUAAUUGUGUUCUGAUUGUUUUGUGAGUGAUAAUCACUUCUUUGUGAAUGCGGUUGAGAAACUUCUGAAAAAAAAUUUAUUUAUACAUACGAGUCUUUAAUUGUUGAAAACAAACUGAUGGUUACCAAAGAGGAGAUGGGUGAAAUAGGUGAUGGGGAUUAAGGAGUGCACUUCCAAUGAGCACCGAGUGAUUAAAAUAAAAACGUAAGAAAUAUUUAUUUAGAGUACAAUCUUUUGAAAGUAACUUAUAACUGCUGAAAGGGGUAAGGAAAGACUUAAAAUCAUGUAAGAAUUGGCUCUUUUUCAAAUCGGUAACAGGAAGGGUACAAUUUUGUUUGAUAAUACAGUUAUACAUAUAAUCGUACUGUCAAACGAUAUACAGUUGACCCUUGAACACGUAUUUAAACUGCCCAGUCCACUUACAUAUUUAAAGAUGAGAUAAACAUCCCUUGAUCAAAAAAUGGGAUUUCUGAUAGAAGAAAGUUUUGUUCUCACUCUGAAACCUUCUACUUCACCUUAAUGAGACAUCUGGAAGAUGAAUGCAGUUGGUGACAGUAGUAGAAUAUGACUAGAUCCUUACAAGCUGAUUGGUAUUCCUGGAGAGGAAGGAAUGUCGUUAUUGGUCCCUUGAAGAAAGAUUGCAAGAUAAGUGAAAACACUUCUCAUGACACGAUUGGUUUUCAAUGUGGCAUCCUACUGAAUCUGUGAUUUAUGAUAUAAUGGGGUGUAUGUUUCCAUCUUUUUGUCUUAAGUAUCAUAUGUAGUUGAGACCACUUGUACACAUUUUUACCCACUGUUUGUUGUUGUUUUCUUACCCACUGCUUCUUAACUGAAGGUGAUUUUGCCCCCCAGCAGACCCUUGGCAAUGUUUGCAACAUUUCGGUUGUCACAACUGAGGAGAGUGUUCCUGGCACCUAAUAGAUAAAGCCAAAGAUGCUGCUAAAUAUCCUAUGAUGUGGAGGACAGCCCCCGACAAAACAGAAGUACCCAGCCCAAAAUGUCAGUAGCGCCAAGG